AUUGAACGCUGGCGGCAGGCCUAACACAUGCAAGUCGAGCGGAGCGGCGGACGGGUGAGUAAUGCAUAGGAAUCUGACCGGUCGUGGGGGAUACCGUCCGGAAAAGGGCGCUAAUACCGCAAAAUAUCAGAUGAGCCUAGGGUGGAUUAGGUAGUUGGUGGGGUAAAGGCCUACCAAGGGGACGAUCCGUAACUGGUCUGAGAGGAUGAUCAGUCACACUGGAACUGAGACACGGUCCAGACUCCUAAGGGAGGCAGCAGUGGGGAAUAUUGGGCAAUGGGCGAAAGCCUGAUCCAGCCAUGCCGCGUGUGUGAAGAAGGUCUUCGGAUUGUAAAGCACUUUAAGUUGGGAGGCGUUACCAACAGAAUAAGCACCGGCUAACUUCGUGCCAGCCGCCGCGGUAAUAC
rnacentral:rRNA from 1 species